AAUAUAACCNUGNNNNNGAUAGUAAACAAGUACCGUGAGGGAAAGUUGAAAAGAACUCUGAAUAGAGAGUUAAAUAGUACGUGAAACUGCUUAGAGGUUAAGCCCGAUGAACCUGAAUAUCCAAUAUAGAAAAUUCAUCAUUAUGACUCUAAUAUUUUUAAAUAUUAUAAUAAUAGUGUGCAUUUUUUCUAUAGAGGACAUUGUAAUCUAUUGAUAUAAAAGAAAUUUAUUAUAAGAUCGAUUGCGCAAGUUUA
rnacentral:rRNA from 1 species